rfam:Oryza glaberrima chromosome 5 Oglab05_0128_22, whole genome shotgun sequence.
UUUAAAUGCAACCAUAAGUUUUCACGCCCAAAUUUGAUCGUUCGUCUUAUUUAAAAAAUUUUUAUAAUUAGUAUUUUUGUUGUUAUGAGAUGAUAAAACAUAAAUAGUAUUUUAUUCAUGACUUAUGUUUUUAAUUUUUUUCAAAAAAAAAGUCAAAUAAGACAGACAAUAAAAGUUGGACGCGGAAAACCAUGGCUGCACUUAAA